AGCAAAAUUGCUGGGUUGUAUGGUAAAUUUAUGCUUAAUUUUUUAAGAAACUGCCAAACUAUUUUUCAAAAAUGGCUGUACCACUUCACAUUCCCAUCAGAAAU
rnacentral:pre_miRNA from 1 species